rnacentral:rRNA from 1 species
UACGAAGGGGGCUAGCGUUGUUCGGAAUCACUGGGCGUAAAGGGCGCGUAGGCGGCCGAUCAAGUCGGGGGUGAAAGCCUGUGGCUCAACCACAGAAUUGCCUUCGAUACUGGUUGGCUUGAGACCGGAAGAGGUAAGUGGAACUGCGAGUGUAGAGGUGAAAUUCGUAGAUAUUCGCAAGAACACCAGUGGCGAAGGCGGCUUACUGGUCCGGUUCUGACGCUGAGGCGCGAAAGCGUGGGGAGCAAACAGG